rnacentral:lncRNA from 1 species
GACGAAGAUCGGGAUUUUCUCGAGCACCGUCGGAUCGAGAGGAGAUAGGGAGGAGGAUUGAGUGGGGUCUCGAGCGGCGGACAGAGAUCGGAGGUGAGCACUGAUACGGCGGCGAAUACGGCGGUUUUGACGACGGAAUAACCAUCUGGCGUAGCUGUGGAAACAGAGGAUAAGAAUGACGGCGACGAAGAGGAUGAUCACGGAAGCGAGCAUGAUCUUGCCGUUAAGUGCGUAACGUGAAGAAGGUCCAUGGGUCAUGUUUUCCCAUAGUGUCUUGCUGUUGUCAUCAACGAUGCCCAUUGUUCUAGAGAGAGAGUGAAAUAAGUGAAAUGAGCACGAAAGAUUUUAGAGAGAGAAUGAAUUGAGUGGGUUAUCGAAGAAGAAGAGAGUGGGAGUGCUUGAUUCUGUGGGUUUGAAUCUCUUUAUUUAUAGACAAGCUAUGAAUUAUUGGCUAUGAAUUAUUUUAUUACUAUUCUUACUAUAUGUUUGUUUUAUUUUUCGGUGGAUUUAUUCUUGAUUUCAGUUUUCGAGUAACUUUAUAAAAUUGAAUUAAAAAGUGAUGAAUGCUUUUGCGACUUUUUGUUGUUGAUUUUCAUAGAGUUGAGCAUACAUUUUUUUUUUUUGUCUAAUAGCUCUUUCAGCUUUGAACAAAUAUAGCUUUGAGAAAGUGUUUUGACCAUAAUUUACUUUAUGAUUUGCUUGCCAAUACUUUUUAGUUUUGAAUAUAUGUUUUUCCCACAGAGAAGCAUGCAUUUAUAAUCAUAGAUCAAAUGUGUAGAAAUGCAUUUAUAAUCAUAGAUCAAAUGUGUAGAAACUUAUUGAUAAACAUGGUGCACAUUUGAUAGAUUUUCUUGAACAUUUCUUCAGUGCUAUUUAACCUUUUGUGAAUAAAUAUGCUGGAAACAGAGUUAAAAGUCAAAGUUUGUGGAUUUUGUAUUAUUUACAUUCAUCAGUAUAUGUUUUUUUUGGUAAAAUUCAUCAGUAUAUGUUUUUUUUGGUAAAAUUCAUCAGUAUAUGUUGAAAGCAAAACUAUAAAAGUAGAUGUAGAGACACUAAUAGGGAAAAUAAAAUGCAUGGUCCAAUCCAAUUGAAAUGAAACUGAAAAAUGCAUAACUAAAUAAACCGAAAUGAACCUAGAAUCUAGUAACACACUGCUUUUGGAUUUUCCAUGACUCAUGGGACUCAUUCUCAAGCGUGGUCUCUUAAAGUUUUGCUUAAAUGGUAAGAGAGGGACUGUCCUAAUCUGGCGGCUCUUUAUUUCUUUUUUCUUUUUCUCUCUUUUUAUAAAAAAAUAAGUAUUUUGUUUUCUUAGAAAAAUAAAAAAAAUUCCGUCAAAUACAACUUUAUUUGGAAGUCUUUUUCAAAAAUGUCUUUAAGACCGUUUUACACAUCAGAAACCUACUAACAUUUUUGUCGUUAAAGAGUAUUUUAAAUGGCCCUUCCUUGCUAACGACCUUAGAUGCAUUCACCUUUCUAUUGUUUCUUGUUUCUACUUUAAAUAACAUUAGAGUUUCUUCUCUCUUUUUCUUGAUCGCAUUUCCACUUUCCUCCAUUUUGAGCACUAUCAAGAAGUAUUACUAAAAUAUUAUUCUCGAGAAUUGAAUUAAGAAUCUUAGAUCUUUCUAAGAACUUCCAAGGCCAUUAACGGCUCUAAAUGAUUAGAAGAUUCCUUACUCUCAUUACAGAAUAUUACAGUAUUGGAUAUAUGUUCUUAGGACUAAUCUUAGAUCAAAACAGAAGAAACUCCGAUCAAACACACACAUAAAUAUCUUGUACAGCAUAAUUUCUGUUUUUUAGAAACAUACAUGAUACCCAAACGCAGACAAAAGUAAAAGAAUCAGUGACUAUAUAACUUGUUUUGGUCCCCGGCCGGCCGGGACCGAUACUAUGAGUUGUAAAAUCUAUAACUUAUUGAUUUAUAAAAGGUUGUACAUUAAGACUUGCUUCCAUGGUAAAUGGUUUUUAUUUAAAGUUGUUGAUCAGUGAGCAACGAAAAGCAAAUUCGAUAUUAUGAAUGGGAUAAGGUCGGACCAUUAGUCAAAACAUUCUACAACUUGAGAGAACACUCUAAAGGCUAUACAAACCCAUGUGCCGUGAGCGUGCAGGCUAACAUGAAAUAUCAUACUUUACGACUGAUGAAAGCUACUCAUCUUUUAUAUAUAUAUAUAUAUCAUAAAGUAGCUUAAAAUUCAAUUUGAAUAUCAAUAUGCAAUACAGGUUAUCAGCUUUUUAUAAAAGUAAAUGUAAUAGAUUUAUCCACAAAAAUCAUAUUAAAGUCGACGGGUUCCUUAAUAGUCAAGAAAAAGAGAAAAAAAUAGAAAGAAACAUUUGAAAAAGCUUGGUCGAAAAAGUGAUAAUGAAAAUUCAUAAGUAAAAGGAAAAAAAACGAUUAAGAGUUAGUAUUCCACAAUGUUUAAAUUCUGCUAGGCGCACAUUAGGUGUUCGAACAGUGUUUAGCGUGUAGGUCGAUUAAUCGUGUUCUAUAUGCCUGCAUGCAUGGUAGCUUUUUUAUUUAAGUAAAGUGCUAAACGUUCAACUUUAAGAAGGUUUGAUAUUUUACAAUCAACCUAAGUAUCAAACCGUGUGAAAGUUGUAAAUAAAUGAUGUAACAGCCAGUGAAGUUACAUUCCGAGAAGUAGUGGCCAGCUCAUUCAUCUCCCUUUUUCGAAUUGCUUUACUUGUUUUUCAACUUUCAACUUUAUUUAUUUCUUUCCUUUCAACUUUAUUUAUUUGUUAAAAUAUGAGAACAAUUAACAAAAAUGAAAAAAAAACAACAAUAAACGCUUAUGAUUAAACCAAAACGAGAGACAAUGCAAUACCAAGAGUGAAUAUGAAAAAAGAGUGAAUAUGAAAGAACAUAUUUUCUCUUAAACUCUACAGUUUCCGAGGCAACUAGGGAUGGAACCUGGCAAAUCCCAUCAGCUAGAUCUGAUGAGUCCGAGACACUACAGAUUGUUCUUUCCACAAUCCCACCACCAUCUCCCUCGAGAGGUAAAGAUUGCUAUCUGUGGCGCAGUGGGGACAGUAGUUAUGACAAACAAUUCUCAACCAAGAGAACAUGGGAGCUCAUAAGGCAGACUGCAGAGCCAGUUUCAUGGGCAGGCUUGGUCUGGUUUAAGGAGGAAAUCCCGCGUUGCUCGUUUAUCACCUGGCUGUCUGUGCUUCAGCGACUACCAACAAGGGAUCGGCUAGCGUCUUGGGGCAUGAAUGUUCCGGCGCACUGUGUGCUCUGCUCAACUGGGCUAGAAUCACAUGAUCACCUAUUCUUUCAAUGCACCUAUGCUUCUUCUGUUUGGUCGCGUUUCUGUGUAGGAAGAUAUCUCUCGGCUCCUCCGGUCUCAACACUAGCGUGUGCCAACGCGAUGCGAUGUCACCAGUUCACUUCUACACCUAGGACUAUACCAGUCCUCAAGCUAAUUUUGCAGGUUGUCAUUUAUUGCUUGUGGAGGGAAAGGAACGCACGCAUCUUCACAACCACUUCUAUUCCUGCAACGGUGCUGGCUUCAAGGGUAGAUCGCAUGAUUAGGGACCGGCUGCUUUCUAUCCCGCCUCGAUCUCCAUCUCAUGUCUCGCUCCUGAAGCUUUACUCCGCCUUUCUUUGUAAUGAACCUUAGUUUCUUGUUUUUUUUUCUUCAUUCUCUUCUUAUUGCCUAAUAAGUGGCUUGCCACAUCUUGUAAUUCAAAAAACAGAAAAGUUGGUAUAAAUCUUAACAUUUACACCACAAAAAAAAAAAAAAAUGUAAAAAUUCAUCGGACAACGGACAUGUUAUCUGACAGAAGAAGUUACUAAUAGAACAGUGUACGUAAUUAUAGAUAUAUUGCUGGGGCACAACGAUCAAGAUAUUUUAAUGAUAAGAGAGGGAGCUUCUAUUCUCUAUUUUUUUGUUACAAUAACACUGUUUUUCUUUAUUUCAUGAAAUCUCCUAAUCCCAAGAGAGUCAAAUCAUCUUCUAGUUAAGUAUCUGCCUUAGAUUAAUUGCUAACUCUCAUGCACAUACUUAUCAUACAAAAUAUUAGUAAUUAAUUGUGCUGAAUACUCUAACCCAAGAUUCCCGGACGAUGGUCCGAGAGUAUCAUUGUACAAAAUUAAAACUUAUCUAUUAGAUUAGCCAUUUCAAUCUUUUUUUACCAAUGCUAGAGAUAUUUUUAUAAGGAUAUAUGUAAUGUAUAAUUUGUAUUUUGACAAUGAUAAAGGCAAAUCACUAUGGAUCUCACUUUCCAAUCGGUUGCAGCAAGAACCACAAGUCCUUGAGUUAUAUUAUAGGUUUGUUGUACUCUCAAAACCCUAAUCCGUUUCAUGAGUUUAUUAAACUUGCAUCACCAUUGAUUUUUUUUUUUAUAGAGUCCAAGAAAAAGUGGUGUAUUUUUCGGGUUAAAAUUCUAACCAAGAAAAUUUUGCUUAUGAUGUACUAUUCAAUAACCAAGGUUCAAAAUAUACUUUGAUAAACACUAGCCUGACACAUGAAACUUCGAUGCCGAAAAUAGCUCUAAGAUCAAAGACGAAUCUUUUUAAGCAUACACGUGAUUUUUGUGUCCCCCUAGACCAUCUUAGGCAGUCCAUGUUUUCAAACUUUCAGUGGAAAAUCUUGAUUAACUGAUUAAACUAAUCCGUAUCAGUAAUCAACAGCUUGCAUCUCAGAAAUAUGUUAGUAUCAUCACAUGCCAGACACAAUCAAUACACUAUUUAAUAAGCCCAUAUACCUGUAUAAUGUGACUAGCUAUUAUUUACACUCUUUACAUAAAUAUUCCACUAGGUCUAGUAGUACUAUUUAAUAACUCCAUCCGCCUUCGUUAUCCUCAAUUGGCUUAACCGAUGGAAAAACGGGAGCAACCGGUUCUGAAUUCCUCAAACCGGAUUCAGUAACCGACUCCUCGGGUUGAACCGGAGCUCUGCAAAGCGGACAGCUAGAUCUCGACCGGAACCACGUGUCAAUACAAUCAACAUGGAACACGUGGCCGCAUUUGGGAAGGACACGUCCUUCGUCUUCUUCUUCAAAUUCCGACAAGCAAACGGAGCAAUCCUCGGGCGGAGAUUUAUGGGUUUUAGCGGAAUAGACGAAGAUCGGGAUUUUCUCGAGCACCGUCGGAUCGAGAGGAGAUAGGGAGGAGGAUUGAGUGGGGUCUCGAGCGGCGGACAGAGAUCGGAGAUGAGCACUGAUACGGCGGCGAAUACGGCGGUUUUGACGACGGAAUAACCAUCUGGCGUAGCUGUGGAAACAGAGGAUUAGAAUGACGGCGACGAAGAGGAUGAUCACGGAAGCGAG